UUUCCGUAGGUGAACCUGCGGAAGGAUCAUUAUUGUAUAACCGAGGUGCGAGGGCUGUCGCUGAACCGAAAGGUCGUGCACGCCCGAGUGCCCUCACACACAUCCAUCUCACCCCUAUUUGCACCACCGCGUGGGUCCCCCUUUGGCUUGUUCGGAGGGGGGCUUACGUUUUCACACAAACUUUGUAUGCAGUGUAGAAUGUAUUUUUUGUUUUUGCGAUCACGCAAUCAAUACAACUUUCAACAACGGAUCUCUUGGCUCUC
rnacentral:misc_RNA from 1 species